AAUAUAUUGAUAAAUAAUAUUUAUCGGGUUUGCAUGCAUUCAUCAGAUGGCCCUUCUGAACCGGUCCGGCACACCGGACAAUGGACAUGCCAAUUUUACUGCGAGGAAGGGCGCAACAAACAGAAACUAUAUACUUCAAAAGCCACAAAAAAAAAUAGAGCCCAUCCAGCUGAAUUUCUGCAGUUUGUCUCAAUUAAAGGGGCC
rnacentral:lncRNA from 1 species